AAGCCCAGAAGAGCAGUGAAGACAAAGAAGACACGACACCUGCAAAAAGUCAGUGGAGUAUUUCUACACAACAAACCUUCCAGGCUGCCAUGAUCCUCCCUCUGGACCCUGUGGUCAGGGUCGCUGCAGAGAUCCUCCCUUUGGACCCCGCCUGCCUGAAGGGCCCAUACCUUGGUCAGGCAUCUUAGAAGGACUGCCGUGAGCCAUGUCAUAAAAAGGAGAAAACAGCACAGUGGACAGCCCCAAUUCCUGCAUAUACAGACGGGAAACUUAGGUGCACUGCUACUCUGACUCCAAAUACUACAGCACCACGUGCUUCUCAGACUGGUGGAUGCACAGCUCCACUUCUUUGCAGAGAGGAUGCACAACAGCAGAAUAUCCGUGGCCCGACUUUCUGGAGCAUCAGUAUUACUACAAGAUUUGGAAGAAGCAAAGUUAGGUCAUUUCCAUGCCAGAAGAACCUUAAGGGAAAUGGCAGAGGGAGAUUCUCCCUCUUCCCCCGACAGUUUUGGCGUAGUCGCCAGGAGCCACACUGGCUGACAAGUUGCCUUCUCUGGCUGGAAGACCUGCUUUCUCCCUGGACUACUGCAGAUGGUGAGAUACAGGAACGCCUGACAAAAGCUGGCAAAAGGUAAGACUUCUUACCAUGUCAGCCUCCCGGAAUCUCUAUCUGCGGAGUCCGGCAGAAGGAAAUG